UUCUUUGCUCGCGAUGCGGAUCAUAUUAGGACGGAAAACAGCGAUAUAAAGUGUUUAAUCCUACUCACAAAGUGUGUUUUGUUAAUAUCAUAUCGUUUUAUAAUUAUUUCAAUGUGUUGGGUGCGCCUAAAAACGUUUAUCAAUGGCAUUUCCUUUCACUCGCGAUGCGGAAGGACUUUUCUAAAAGGGAAUAUCCGAAAAGAGAUAUUUUCUUUCUCUCGCGGUGUGAGCAGACGGGGAAGUUGGUUUUAACAAGGAAAACACUGAAAAGAUAUUUUCGUUCACUCGUGAUGCUCCGGAGCAGAUGAGGCUGAAGUUGGUUUUAACGAGGAAAACGACAAAAAUGGUUCAUGCUGGCUUAACAGAAAAAUCAAAAGAAGAUGAUGUGCUUGAAGAGUAUGAAGCCACCAAUACAUGGGAGUCGUCCAACCUCAGUACAGAGAGAUCAGUAUGCACUUGGAAUUGUGACUUUGUCUCUGUCGUUAGAAGACCCAUUUUCUAAAGAGAGAACGUCAUACAGGUUUGGAACCACGUGAGGAUAAAUAAAUAAUGACAGAGUUUUGGGUGAAGUUCUUGUAUUGCAAUUCAUACUUGUCUCUGACAUUUCACCUGAUAAUAGUUUUGAUAACUGGAUGUGGAAUGAUCCUGUUUUGGUUUUGUACUUUUAUUUAUUUUUAAAUUUUACAGGGGCAGUUUUGUGAUGCUGUAAAUAGGAGUGGAUAUCUUGCUUGGCUGAAAACUGCAGAGAAACGCAUCUCAUCGUGAUGAAAAAAAAAAAUGAGAGUAUUCUCUCCAAGGAGGUCCAAACACCAGCACAGACUUUGAUUAGUGAGCAUUAACAUGCAUUCAGAUUUUAUGGUAAUGAAUGGAAUGCUGUUGUUUAACCUCCUAAAUGUCAGCAUUAUAAACCUUAUGACAUUAAUGGACCAAAUAAGAAUGUUUUUU